rnacentral:pre_miRNA from 1 species
AGACUGGUUAAUGGUAACAAUGCACCGUAAAACCUUCAGAAGGAAAGAACGUUUUGUGGACCAUUUUUGUGUAUGUGUGUGUGGCAGUUUUAAGUUAUUAGUUUUCAAAAUCA